GACCAAUCAGGAUUUUGGAGGACACCAGGUCACAAAGCUGACCCAGUCUUGAGCCUCAUGGAAUCACAGAAUCUGGAGGUCAGACAAAAUGUAGGAAUUGCUUUUGCAACAUCUCAGGAAAACGGGCUUCCCACUCCCAUGUGACAGCCUCAGUUAUUGUUAGGCUUACCGCUCAUGUGUCGCUGUCCCCUGAUGGUGUCUCAGGCUGUCCCAAGGCUGCUUUCUGGGUGGGGAGGCCUUCUUGGAGAGUGCUGAGAAGUUGGAAUGUUCCCUCUUCAUUCCUCAGACUCUCCAAGUCCACUUCACAACCAAUUUCAAGUCACUUAACCUCUCUGAGCCUCACUAUCUUCAUCUGUCACAUGGUGAUAGAAGCAUGGGAUCAACACCUUGAAUGGUGCCCAACCAGCGUUCAUCCUCCAUUAAGUGUUAAUCCCUGAGAUUGGUAUUAUUGUCACGACCACUGCCUCUGCCUACCUUGUUGGCAUGGACUGGGUUCACUAGUACUCACUUGUUCCCCAGACACUGUGCACCUGUAUGUCUCCCCCUGAUUCCUGUACCUUCCUCCUUAGGGGAGGCUCUGGAAUAUCCUCCUUCCUAGCCUGGUUCCCACACCAUGCCCCCUCCCACCCUCUCUGAGAACUCUGAUUCACUGGAAGGAACUCAGCUCCAACCCACUUGCCUUGCCUGGGGCACACGGCCUCAGUGUGGGAGCCCAACGACUGGGGUGUGGGUGGGGGUCCAGCCUUUUUUUUUUUUCACUUUUGGAGUAUUUACUUAACAACCAUGAGCCUCAGUGUUCUCACUCUUAAACCAAAGGGAAUGUGCUGUGAAUAUGAACUGAGGCGAGCCACUGAAGGUGUGUUCAGGUAACACGUGUGCUUGAGGUAUUGGCCAUCUCCUCCUUCACACGCAUUUUCUCUCUUGGUCCUCACUGCCACUCGGGAAGCAGGUGUCGCUACAGGUAAAAACACUGAGCUCUGUGGGAGAAGUGACAGGCUCAAGGCCACCCAGAUCCUCUGACUGGGCUCAGAGGUGAAUCUAGGACUCCAGAUCCUACGUGUUAUCUACCAUAACGUGCAAACGUACUGUGACUGAUCUGGUAGCUUUUCAAACUUUUUUGAAUUAAAUCAAAUACAGCAGCAGAAUACUAUGAUAUUCUGAUCUCGUAUUUAAGUAAUUUAUUUGCAUUUUAUGCUGGGUUUUGAUGCAGGACCGGGAAAUCAACAAAACUUUUAUUUUAAAGGGGAAAAAACUCGAUGGAUAGAGAAAUUGCCUUCUCAUAGCUGAGUACCAAAGGGAGUGUCCCAGGCUGCUUAUUUUUUGGAGAUUGAGACCCCAAAUGUCACAACACUGGCAUUCAAAAGCCCAGAAGGGGAAGCAGCUUCUUCUGGCGUAUUUGUGAUGUUUCCUGUCACCAGAGUCUGUGCCUGGGAUAACAGCAAUACAUCCAUGCGCUUUACUCUGCACAGAACAUUUUUUUCAGCCUUGCUCGUUAGUAGAUGUAAGCCAGCCAGUAACCCCGUGGGGUGUGUGUGUGUGUGUGUGUGUGUGCGCGCGCGCGCACGAGCACACGCGUUGCAUACUGCCCCCAUCCCCUCGGGGAUCUCCCUGGCAGCCCACGGGGGCUGUCCCCCUACCCCAGAUUUCUUCUUGAAGCUUGCCCUUCUGAAAUUGCUUCAGGUAUGAUUCUAUCUCGAAGACUGAAGAUCGGACUUGAAAAGGAGCCCGCUCUCAUAGUGUCAUUCCUGACAGAUUUCUUAAUUAAUCUGCUCAGAUUGUCAAUAGUGUAAUUCACUGUUGAUUUAGAAACUAGUUAUAUGAGCACUGCUUAGUGCCAUUGUGGGAAAACAUCUGAAUAAUUCAGCUAAUAGAUGGGAAACUCACCCAGAUUGCUGGGGCACAGGGAGCAAAGAGCUAACUCGCAUGAGAUGAGCUCGAGCAGGGUGAUUCCAGCAAAUUCCAGGGAGCGGGGAGAGGUUGUCAUAUUAUUGGGGGCAGCAGCUGCCUGGUUUAAUUAUUGUCAUUUCGGUUUUUGGAAAAAGGAACGUGGGCCUGGUAUUCUCACAGGCAGAGGCCAUUAACACACUCUUGAAAAAUAUUGCAGAAUUUCAGUGUAAAAUGUGUGAUCUAGUUGAUUACUAACUCAGAGCUACUCAGCGUGUUAGUGGGUCCCAUUCUUGCGAUGCCAUAUUAUUUUUAUAUGAUUCUUAUUCAACAUAUGUGAGUUUAGUGAUAUGUACCAUCCAAGGAAUAUAAAAAUGACUUCCUUCUCUUCUGGGAGAUUCGCAAUUAUUUGGGGGUUUCCUAGAAUUGAAUAGAUGUGUCUUGAGAUUGGGGUCAUCAUCCAUUUUACACCAAAACUUGAGCUGUGUUGAAAUUGAAGUUUAUAGGUUGAUGAGUCUGCUUAUGUGAAGAGUCUUACGUAAACAUAAAAACUCAAUCACUUUUAGUUAUAUACUUAACAUUUUGUUUUUAUUGAAAAUCGUAAAAUUAUAUGAAGUUGAGCUGUUAUACUAAAUUUUUUUUUGCCAUGGUGGUUAGAGUUUUAACAACCCUUAAGUGCAGACGAGUUAGUGGCUAAAUGUAAAUGUGAAUCAGAAUCAUGGUGCUUUUGAUAGGAAAUGUUAAUUCAGUUCCAUUUAUCUGCAGCUUCUCACACUUGUCUUCUCUUUUCUAUCUCCCUUUCUCCCCCCCAACAUCCUCGCAUGCAUGACAGCUCAUGUGCACACACACGUGCACACACACAAACAUACAUGCACACACAGUACACCAACACACGCACGCACCCACGUGUGCACACACAGGCACACGCAUGCACACUCUUGUCUGUCACCUCUCUUCCAGCUUUCUAUGGUGAGGUCUUCAGAAAAAGGGAGAGAGCAAACAGCAUCCAGGGCUGAUAGCCUGACACGGACGGGCUUCUAGCAGCAGAGUGAGCACCUAGCAAGUCCCAACAGCCACGGGAAGAGGAAGGAGCCCGAGCUCUCGUGGUGACCCAGGGGGUGAACGCAGACAGCGGGGCCAGUAUUCGUUACCUCUUCGGUGCCCUUCCUGCCGGCAGGGUCUACGGCAAAUGCUCAGUAGUGCUGAAUUGUAGGAGGCUCGCACUAAGCCUGCGAGGGAGGGGCUGGUUUCACCCUACUUUGCAGGAAAGAAAGGCCCUGAAGGUGAAGUGACCUCUCCAUGGACAAACUGGACCUCUCCAGCUGGUAAAGCUGGCACUUACGUCCAUUGCCCGCAUCUGGUGGACACAAGGGUGUGCUGUUGUGAGUGGUGUCACAUCUGUAACUUGGGACCGCCUCUGAUUCGGUGGGAGUAUUUACACCAAGGAAAUCGGCAAACGUUACAGAUGAGGUUUUGUCUCUUCAGCACGCUGUGGAUGAGUCACCAUCCUCCAGAGAUAGAGCCUGAAAGAAACCUCUGCCUGCCUCUAAGGUCCACCCGCAAGCCUUCGCCAGCCUUCUCUUCUGGAGCCUCCUGAUGAGCUUGGCACACCCUCCCCAAACAUUAACCUCUGGUAACCUGUUGGUGUCUGCUUUUAUGGUCAUUCUCCAAGCAUCUUGAUUCUUCUGUCGGCAGAGCUCAGCACAGAGUAGAGCUCACUCUGCGCUCGUGGGAUGAACCCACCCGUGAGCGGGUGAGUAAAUACGACUUCAGUUUUCUACAUUGGUGUCUCUUUGGCCUUUGGGGUGGGCCGUACCUCACUAAAGGGCACAACACUAAGGUUAUGAUAAGCCCCAAACUGCUUUUGGCCUCAAAAACAGCCCGAAGCUGAAGUGACAUUUCACACAAAUGUGAGUCGCGCUUGAUGUUGAAGUGUUUGCUGAGAAACUACUUGAAAAAGGCCACUUUUGGAAGAAACUACUUCGAAGGCGACUUGACAGUCCACUGAGCUGAGAAAAUGUGCCCAGGGAGCCAGGACCCACACAUCAAAGGGAUUCGGAAGGACAAUUUGCAAGGAGAGCCACACGUCCGGAUCACCUUGGGGAAAGCGGUCUUUGUCACUGAUCUGAAUCAAGGGCAGGAGGGCACAAGGACAUCAGAUUUGUUUGAAGAGAACAGCAUCCUGUUAGUCUUGGAAAAGAAUGACAUGAAGCCACCAAAACACCACUUCCUCCCCUCCCCCAGGCCCGCUCGUCACCCGGUGAGACCCCGUACAUCAAAGACUCUCUGAGCCCUGUGUCUUCCUUGUGUGUCACCCUAGUUAACGAUUUGAAGGCAAAUGCCCAGAACACUGAUGUGAGGGGGUAGAAAGAGCUCCCUGCCCCUCCUGUGUGGUUCUACCGUGUCCCCCUCCUCUGGGGCUCACUCCUCUAGGCCUUGGCAAUUUUUCUAGGUCCCAAGAGGCGGUGGACCCAAGCUCAUGGGUUAACUCCACCAACCCCUGUAGGAGCCUGGGUAAAUGACUUGAGUUUUUUGCCCCAUCUGUAGAAUUCGACUGUUACUUUGGCCUGUGUUACACCCCCCCACCCCCUACAUGGCUACAGAGAGGUCCGGGGAAGUGAUCUGUCAUAGACUCCACGGAGCUGCAAGCUGCUGUUCUUAGCUUUGUCAAUGCCAUCACUAGUGUCUGGGUCCCCUCUUAUUUGACACGAGAAACCUAAGGCCCGGAGAUGUGAAGUGACUCGAUGAGGUCCCUGCCAGGGUCUUACACGGGGCUCUGGGAGUGAGUCCCGUGCCUCCUCUGUUAACAAAUGCAUUCCACUCUCGGUGCCCUUUCUUGUCAACUCUUACUUAUCAGCCUCACAGCAGGUGAAGUCAUCCAAUAACAGAAAGCCACUGCCCAUUUUGCUAUGAAAUUCUACCCAGGGAAUGCGGACACACCCAUACACCCCCGACCUACACCUCGUGUCACUCGGUUUUAGGAUUAGUAGAAAUACAUACGCUCUUUUUUUUAAAAUUUAUUUGAGAGAGAGAGAGAGA